GACAUAACCAAUGAUUUUGAUUUCCUAAACAGAUUUGGAGAAGCUGUUAAUUCACAUUGCCUAUAAAAUAGUGAGGAUUUUGUUGGAUUCAGUUGCCAAACUCUUUUGGUUUCGACAUUCGAAGAGCCAACUCAGCGUUCAACAACGUACUAUGAAUACCGCUAAUUAUUGUGCAUUUAUUUGCUGUGCAAUUGUUGUUAUGUCGGCGGCAAUAGAAGGGAGAAAAAGAAAACAUGGAAGAAGCGUGAUUACCGUGGAUUGUGCCCUAGUUCAAUGCGCUGCCCCCCAAUGCGUUGACUCCUUCACACCACCAGGGCAAUGCUGUCCGGUUUGCGAAGGCAAAAAGUCGUGCAAUUAUAAGGGGAGAGUGUAUAAGCACGGUUCGCAGUUCAAUGACGAAUGCAAUACAUGUGGGUGUUACUACGGUUCCGUGCAAUGUACAGAAAUGGCUUGCCUAGCUAAUCCGUCGGGCGAGAUUCAUUAGAUAUACGUCUUCAACACAUGAAAUGGAGAGAUCUUCUAACAAGCUACAAUUGACUUAUGCAUGCACACUUGAUUUUAUUUUCUAUAGAGCUAUAAUUCGCUUCCCACUUCUACACUCGAUAUGACUUUCAUAACAAUUUCAAUAUAUUUAAUAGUUUUACAUGAUUUCAAUAUAUUUACAUUACCAUAUUGCAUAGGCGCUAUCUUCCAGUGAGAUACCCUAUGUGUAACACUUCUACUCUAGACAUGCCGUAAUUUUCCACAUAUCUUCCAUUAGUACAACACUUCUAUAAUUGAUAUGACGCCAUCUGCGCAUAUCUACAAUUGGUAGAACACUUCUAUAAUUGACAUGGGACUUUCUGCCACAGAAUAAUCAUUUGUAUAACUCAUUUUCACUUGACAUCGCGCAAUCUUUCACUUAUAAGCAAUUUAAUAUUUAAAUACAUCUUUUUUGGUUGACAUGGUCUUUCUAAUACAUAUCUACAAUUUGUGUAACACUACAAGUUUGUCAUGGCACUAUCUGCAACACAGCUGCCAUUGACGGCACACUUCUUUACCGAACAUGGCGUCAUCAUCAACAAAGCUACCAUUAACGUAAUAUGUAGAAACUUGACAUCACGAUUUUCUUAACUAAAAUGGAAUUAGUCGAAAUAUUUUCUGAAAUAAAAAUGCCGCUAUGUAUCGAAAAUAUUGUGUAAAACAAGUAUUUCUGAAAAUCAAUUUAAUCGCCUUCUUUUUUGUUAUUACAUAGAUUACAACAUAACUGAUUGUUUUAUGUAAAUAUUGCGUUCGUAUGUAUUGGAUAGGAUUGA